rnacentral:rRNA from 1 species
CUUCCAUAGACAUCAGGUGCUAGUGCUAUUUAUCCAUCUUUUUGUUGUUGACUACCAGGGUCGCCGCCCUCAACAAAAGCCUCCAUGUCAACACACACGGACGUGGAUGCACGCCCUCCAGCGCGAGUGAAAUGGUCAGUCCUCGAAGAAUCGACAACGCAGCCUUGGCGGCCUCCGAUGUUGCGCCGCCGGCGGCCACUUCGAAUCCCUGCUCUGCUUCUCUUGACGCAAACCUCAUCCUCGAGGCGUCUCCCGCAUGACGCGUGAUGCACAGAUCAACCCCCAGUUGCGCGCUCCGCGGUGUACCAUCAACCUUGGCUCAAGCAUGGGCUACCCUAGGGUCGAGUUGGCGUCGGCAACCGCGGCCACCCGCUGGAUGCAGCGGCACGGCCCUAGCGCGACGAACUUGUCCCACGCGCGACCACCAGAGGGGAGAGCGAGCAAGCCGUUGGUGCUCGCCAACCAAUGGAUCCACCCCCCGGUGGUCGCCCUUCCUCGGCCUCUUCGUCUCCCAGGCGGCGUACCCCCAACCAGCUCCCUAUCUGCAAGCGCGGCGUCCCUGUCGUCAGCUUCCCUCGCAUGUGUCGAGCGCGGAAUCAUGGAAUCACCGCACGCGCAACCCUUCACCAUCAACCUCGUCAUCUUUGUCUCCUAGGCGGCGAACCUCGGCCAGGACCCCGUGUGCGAACAUGGCAACGAC